ensembl:lncRNA
CGCAGAGGACCCAUCUCGAAACGUGGGAAACCAGCGCUGCUAUUUUUAGGAAAAGGGUGGAGAAUGGUGGAUGGACCAGCCCAGGAGAAGGCACAGCCAUCAGCCACUUCACCCAGUAGCUGAGCCACUCACGGCCCCGUCUGCGAUGAAGACAGAAGGUUAAAGAGGCCGGCUCCAGAGCGAGCGCUGUGCGAGGAGAUGCUCUCUCUCUAGCGGCAUUCUGGGCGAUUACUCCCGAGCACCCAGCCAUACCAAAAUCAAUAAACAAUUUCAGCGCAGCCCAGGGAACUUUGCCACACUUAAU